UAAGGAAUAUUGGUCAAUGGACGCAAGUCUGAACCAGCCAUGCCGCGUGGAGGAUGAAGGUCCUCUGGAUUGUAAACUUCUUUUAUCUGGGACGAAAAAGGGGCUUUCUAGCUCAACUGACGGUACCAGAUGAAUAAGCACCGGCUAACUCCGUGCCAGCAGCCGCGGUAAUACGGAGGGUGCAAGCGUUAUCCGGAUUCACUGGGUUUAAAGGGUGCGUAGGUGGGUUGGUAAGUCAGUGGUGAAAUCCCCGAGCUUAACUUGGGAACUGCCAUUGAUACUAUCAGUCUUGAAUACCGUGGAGGUCAGCGGAAUAUGUCAUGUAGCGGUGAAAUGCUUAGAUAUGACAUAGAACACCAAUUGCGAAGGCAGCUGACUACGCGAAUAUUGACACUGAUGCACGAAAGCGUGGGGAUCAAACAG
rnacentral:rRNA from 1 species